rnacentral:ncRNA from 1 species
AUAAAGUUUCAGGGGAGCUGGUUUGUGUCAGCUGAGAGUAAGAACUAAAUUCUUAGACCCUUUAACCUGAUCUGGAUAAUGCCAGCGUAGGGAGGAUGGUUUACUAUAUA